rnacentral:rRNA from 1 species
UACGAAGGGGGCUAGUGUUGCUCGGAAUCACUGGGCGUAAAGCGCACGUAGGCGGAUUGCUAAGUCAGGGGUGAAAUCCUGGAGCUCAACUCCAGAACUGCCUUUGAUACUGGCGAUCUUGAGUCCGGGAGAGGUGAGUGGAACUGCGAGUGUAGAGGUGAAAUUCGUAGAUAUCGCAAGAACACCAGUGGCGAAGGCGGCUCACUGGCCCGGUACUGACGCUGAGGUGCGAAAGCGUGGGGAGCAAACAGG